rnacentral:misc_RNA from 1 species
GAUGAAGAACGUAGCGAAAUGCGAUACGUAAUGUGAAUUGCAGAAUUCAGUGAAUCAUCGAAUCUUUGAACGCACAUUGCGCCCUUUGGUAUUCCAAAGGGCAUGCCUGUUCGAGCGUCAUUUGUACCCUCAAGCUUUGCUUGGUGUUGGGCGUCUUUUGUCUCCAGUUCGCUGGAGACUCGCCUUAAAGUCAUUGGCAGCCGGCCUACUGGUUUCGGAGCGCAGCACAAGUCGCGCUCUUAGCCAGCCAAGGUCAGCGUCCAGCAAGCCUUUUUUCAACCUUUGACCUCGGAUCAGGUAGGGAUACCCGCUGAACUUAAGCAUAUCAAUAAGCGGAGGA